AUGCAUAAAGAAUUAAAUCAUUAAAAAUAUUAAUUUUCUAUGGAUUUAAUCUUUUCUAAUAAUUUAUCAACCAGGGCCUGAAUUAAAUAGGUUUCUACAGUUCAUUCAAUCGAUUUUCAAUUUUUAAUAUUUAAACUGUAAACAGGCCAAUUUGCCCGGCCCAUCAGAAACCCAAAACAAAAUAUAAAAUAAAUAAAUAACCACAGUCCAUUAAAUAUCCUUUUUACAGUCCAAAACCCAAAAUUAAUACAUGACCCUAUACAAGCCCAAAUCAACCCAUUUACAAAUAAACCCGAGCCCAAAUACGAUAAGCCCAAGUGACCCAAGACUCAAAAAUUAGGGCAGAACCCUAGCAGCUUGUUUGCGCCGCAGCAGUCCCAGCCUCCACGCCUCCGUACGGCCUCCUGGCGCCACGCCCACGUCCCGAACGCCAGCACACGGCCCCGUAACCGAGCGCACAACCGUACCUGCAAAAGAAACAGACAAACACAGCAGCAAAUACAAACAAAAAAACACAUUGUAUUUUGAUUUAUUUUCCUCUUUCUUUUCGGCUAUAAAGCCAGAUUUUAAUCUUGUAAUCGGUUACACACAUUUACAAAAAACAAAACGCAGAGCAACCAAAAGCAGAGAAGGUGAUUGCCACUUUCGAUUUCUAUAAUCUUUUCUCUUUUUUUGCUGUUAUUUACUUGAAUCUUUCAUCAUUUUAAAAAAAAAAAAGAGAGAAAAUAAAAGGAAAGGGAUGGGAUGAGCUUUACCUUGCUUUAGGGCCAUCGGUUUUCUUUUGCUCCAUCGAAAUCGGAGUUUUAAGGGGAGCUUAGAGGCUACAAGGUAGCCCUUCAAAACCCGAACUGGUCGAGUGCUGCGUGUGAAGGCAGAUCGGCGCUAGUGCUAAAGAGGUAGGGAUCGGCUAAGGAGAAAAGGAGGGGUAGGCUAGGGUUCUGGAAUGGCUUUGGAAUAAAGGCAUUGUUUAGCCUUUAUAUGAGAGCAGAUACGGCGCCGUUUGGGCCAAUCUCAAUGGCUACAAAACGACACCGUCCUAAGAGCUAUGACCCGAUGAUCCGGCCCGAGUCCCCCUGGGAUCCGAGCCUUUUCGCAGUGAGAGGAUAUUUGCGCGCCAGACCCUCCCCUUUCUCACGUGCAGUCAGUUGCGUACCUUUUGUUUUAUUUAUUCCUUUUAAUUCAGCCCCUAAAUUUACGCUUUGUUUGCAAGGGGAUCCGCGCCUGGACAUUGCAUUUUGGGAGCUGGGUUAUUUCCAGCUUAGUCCCUACGCAUUCGCGCAUAACGCAUGCAAGCCCUUUUUUUAUUUUAAUAGUCCAUUUCGUUUAUAAUGUAUCCCUCCUAUUUUAAUUCUAUUUUAAUUAAGUCCCUUUUAUUUUUAUUUUUCAUUUUGUGAUUCAUUCAACACUUUUAUCUUUGUUUUACGUUUUAUAUUUUAGGUUAGUUUAAUGCUUUUAUUUUAUUUCUCUUUUCUUGGAUCAUUAUUGUAUUGUUU
rnacentral:lncRNA from 1 species